UGCCGCGUGGGUGAAGAAGGCCUUCGGGUUGUAAAGCCCUUUUGUUGGGAAAGAAAUCCAGCCGGCUAAUACCUGGUUGGGAUGACGGUACCCAAAGAAUAAGCACCGGCUAACUUCGUGCCAGCAGCCGCGGUAAUACGAAGGGUGCAAGCGUUACUCGGAAUUACUGGGCGUAAAGCGUGCGUAGGUGGUUGUUUAAGUCUGUUGUGAAAGCCCUGGGCUCAACCUGGGAACUGCAUUGGAAACUGGACAACUAGAGUGUGGUAGAGGGUAGCGGAAUUCCCGGUGUAGCAGUGAAAUGCGUAGAGAUCGGGAGGAACAUCCAUGGCGAAGGCAGCUACCUGGACCAACACUGACACUGAGGCACGAAAGCGUGGGGAGCAAACAGGAUUAGAUACCCUGGUAGUCCACGCCCUAAACGAUGCGAACUGGAUGUUGGGUGCAAUUUGGCACGCAGUAUCGAAGCUAACGCGUUAAGUUCGCCGCCUGGGGAGUACGGUCGCAAGACUGAAACUCAAAGGAAUUGACGG
rnacentral:rRNA from 1 species